rnacentral:rRNA from 1 species
AGCCUAAGGGAAGGAAAGGGCGAGGCAAUCCCCUGGGCCUGUACUGACGCUCAUGCACGAAAGCGUGGGGAGCAAACAGGUUUAGAUACCCUGGUAGUCCACGCCCUAAACGAUGUCAACUGGUUGUUGGGUCUUCACUGACUCAGUAACGAAGCNUAACGCGUGAAGUUNGACCGCCUGGGGAGUACGGCCNGCAAGGUUGAAACUCAAAGGNAAUUGACGGGGACCCGCACAAGCGGUGGAUGAUGUGGUUUAAUUCGAUGCAACGCGAAAAACCNUUACCCACCUUUGACAUGUACGGAAUCCUUUAGAGAUAGAGGAGUGCUCGAAAGAGAGCCGUAACACAGGUGCUGCAUGGCUGUCGUCAGCUCGUGUCGUGAGAUGNUUGGGNUUAAGUCCCGCAACGAGCGCAACCCUUGCCAUUAGUUGCUACGAAAGGGCACUCUAAUGGGACUGCCGGUGACAAACCGGAGGAAGGUGGGGAUGACGUCAAGUCCUCAUGGCCCUUAUAGGUGGGGCUACACACGUCAUACAAUGGCUGGUACAGAGGGUUGCCAACCCGCGAGGGGGAGCUAAUCCCAUAAAGCCAGUCGUAGUCCGGAUCGCAGUCUGCAACUCGACUGCGUGAAGUCGGAAUCGCUAGUAAUCGCGGAUCAGAAUGUCGCGGUGAAUACGUUCCCGGGUCUUGUACACACCGCCCGUCACACCAUGGGAGCGGGUUCUGCCAGAAGUAGGUAGCCUAACCGUAAGGAGGGCGCUUACCACGGCAGGGUUCGUGACUGGGGUGAAGUCGUAACAAGGUAACCA